rnacentral:rRNA from 1 species
AGAACGAACGCUGGCGGCAGGCUUAACACAUGCAAGUCGAACGCGUGUAGCAAUACACGAGUGGCGCACGGGUGAGUAACGCGUGGAUAUCUGCCUUUUGGUUCGGAAUAACCCCGGGAAACUGGGGCUAAUACCGGAUGGUUCCUACGGGAUAAAGAUUUAUCGCCAAAAGAUGAGUCCGCGUACGAUUAGCUAGUUGGUGAGGUAAUGGCUCACCAAGGCGACGAUCGUUAGCUGGUCUGAGAGGACGAUCAGCCACACUGGGACUGAGACAUGGCCCAGACUCCUACGGGAGGCAGCAGUGGGGAUAUUGGACAUGGGGGCAACCCUGAUCCAGCCAUGCCGCGUGAGUGAUGAAGGCCUUCGGGUUGUAAAGCUCGUUUGGCGGGGACGAUGAUGGACGGUACCCGCAGAAUAACGCCCGGCUAACUUCGCGCCAGCAGCCGC